GAUGAACGCUGGCGGCGUGCCUAAAACAUGCAAGUCGUGCGGUAACAGGGAGAAGCUUGCUUCUCUGCUGACGAGCGGCGGACGGCUGAGUAACGCGUGGGAAUCUACCCCAAAGUGAGGAAUAACUGCCCGAAAGGGUGGCUAAUGCCGCAUAUGGUCUUCGGAUUAAAGGAUUUAUCCGCUUUGGGAAGAGCCCGCGUAAGAUUAGAUAGUUGGUGAGGUAAUGGCUCACCAAGUCGACGAUCUUUAACUGGUCUGAGAGGAUGAUCAGUCACACUGGAACUGAGACACGGUCCAGACUCCUACGGGAGGCAGCAGUAGGGAAUAUUGCACAAUGGAGGAAACUCUGAUGCAGCGACGCCGCGUGAGUGAUGAAGGCCUUCGGGUCGUAAAGCUCUGUCGCAAGGGAAUAACACAAUGAAUGUACCUUGCAAGAAAGGAUCGGCUAACUUCGUGCCAGCAGCCGCAGUAA
rnacentral:rRNA from 1 species